CGAAAAGAACAAAGAAGAGCAACUUAAAGAAGCUAAGCUAACUGGUAUUACCUGGUAACUAGUUAGAUGAUGUCAGCUAUACACUAGUUUUGAUCACGAGGAGGACAAAUUCAAAUGUUUGGCAUGCUUGGUGAAUGGUCAUUAGUGUCUGCUUACACCAGAGAGCCUGGCCAGCUGGUCUAUGACGUCUGAUGUGCCACUUGAUGGUAAACUACAUCAAGACCCCCGUGGCAGAGUCACCGAGGCCCAGCAACUCUUCUCCCCAGGCAGGAUGCAGAGGCUAUGGCGACCCCUCGGCAGAUGGAGCCUCCAGCGUUUCUCCUCUCCUGCAAAUAAAAAAAAAAAAAAAGAGAGCAAGCGCUGGAGCAAGCGCCAGAGAUGAGACACGGCCUGCCUCAGCCCAUCACAGAUGCCAGGAGAAGGCAGGGAUUUUGUCGAGCCCCCCUGCGAGGCGGGUCCAGUUGGAACAGGUGCAGUGUCGUCUCCCUCGGUCCCUUUGUCAGCACCUCAGUGGUGGAGCCUGUGCUCUCUUCCUGUCCCGACUCCUUCUCAUUCACACACUUGAGAGGUGUUGUGGGACUACUUCCAGCCCCUCCUGAAAGCCAACCGCAGAUCUGUCCAUGCAUCCUCGUUUCGAAAGGCCAGAUCCACCCCCAGCGUGGCAUUGUGUUCUUCCUUCAACAGGAAAAAAUAUUCAAGCAGAAGUGAGAGUUUCCGACCCCCACGGGUCAAACAGUUGAGUUGCGUUGCCCUCCUCUGCCUCUCCGAGAUACAAGGUCCAUGCAGUAUACCACGCAGGCGGCAGCCAUCGCCCUGUGUGAUGGAAAGGGUUUACGACAGGCGGCGAGGCCCGACGGGCCACCUUGACCUCUCUGCGCUCCGAGGACCUUGGUGAGCCUGGUCCCGUUGGCCCCCGGAAUCCCACCCCUGCGCCCCCACCCCUCAACCA